UACAGAGGUCCCGAGCGUUGUUCGGAUUCACUGGGCGUAAAGGGUGCGUAGGUGGUGAGGAAAGUCGGAUGUGAAAUCUCCGGGCUUAACCCGGAAAUGGCAUUGGAAACUACCUUGCUAGAGGUUUGAGGGGGACUGGAAUUCUCGGUGUAGCAGUGAAAUGCGUAGAUAUCAAGAGGAACACCAGUGGCGAAGGCGAGUCCCUGGACAACACCUGACACUGAGGCACGAAAGCUAGGGGAGCAAACAGG
rnacentral:rRNA from 1 species